rnacentral:lncRNA from 1 species
AUGACCCUUAUGGCCCAAUCUACAACAACCGCGAGAGGCUACAAAUCUUCCUGUCCGAUGCCGGAGUUCUUGGAGCUAGUUAUCUUCUAUAUCGUAUUGCCUUAGUGAAAGGGCUAGCUUGGCUAGUGUGCAUCUACGGCGUUCCCCUCCUCAUCGUGAACGGUUUCCUUGUCCUGAUCACCUAUUUGCAGCACACUCACCCAUCAUUGCCUCACUAUGACUCAACCGAGUGGGACUGGCUAAGGGGAGCACUGGCAACCUGCGACAGAGACUACGGCGUUCUAAACAAAGUCUUCCACAACAUCACCGACACUCACGUGGUGCACCAUCUGUUCUCAAACAUGCCACACUACCACGCGAUGGAAGCAACCAAAGCAGUCAAGCCAUUACUCGGAGA